UGCGGAAUAGCUCCGGGAAACUGGAAUUAAUACCGCAUACGCCCUACGGGGGAAAGAUUUAUCGGGGUAUGAUGAGCCCGCGUUGGAUUAGCUAGUUGGUGGGGUAAAGGCCUACCAAGGCGACGAUCCAUAGCUGGUCUGAGAGGAUGAUCAGCCACAUUGGGACUGAGACACGGCCCAAACUCCUACGGGAGGCAGCAGUGGGGAAUAUUGGACAAUGGGCGCAAGCCUGAUCCAGCCAUGCCGCGUGAGUGAUGAAGGCCUUAGGGUUGUAAAGCUCUUUCACCGGAGAAGAUAAUGACGGUAUCCGGAGAAGAAGCCCCGGCUAACUUCGUGCCAGCAGCCGCGGUAAUACGAAGGGGGCUAGCGUUGUUCGGAAUUACUGGGCGUAAAGCGCACGUAGGCGGAUAUUUAAGUCAGGGGUGAAAUCCCAGAGCUCAACUCUGGAACUGCCUUUGAUACUGGGUAUCUUGAGUAUGGAAGAGGUAAGUGGAAUUCCGAGUGUAGAGGUGAAAUUCGUA
rnacentral:rRNA from 1 species